rnacentral:rRNA from 2 species
GGACUACACGGGUAUCUAAUCCUGUUUGCUACCCACGCUUUCGUGUCACAGUGUCAGUUCAGGCCCAGACGGUUGCCUUCGCCAUCGGUAUUCCUCCCGAUCUCUACGCAUUUCACCGCUACACCGGGAAUUCUGCCGUCCUCUACCGAACUCGAGCUGCGCAGUAUCGAAUGCCAUUCCCGGGUUGAGCCCAGGGAUUUCACAUCCGACUUAUGCAGCCACCUACACACGCUUUACGCCCAGUAAAUCCGAUUAACGCUCGCACCCUCUGUAUUACCGCGGCGGCUGGCAC